rnacentral:lncRNA from 1 species
ACUAGAAAUAAAAUCAUUAAGUUCAAUGAAAGAUAUAGAUAAUAGAUGUCUAACCUCAGGAAGCCUGGCAGAAAGGUGUCUUAUAUAAGCAAUGUCCGCUUUCUUUAGUUGGAACCUAGAAGUUUAUUGACACAAAUCCAAAAUUCUUAGAACUUUGAACCUAACAAUGAUCUUAUAGCCUAAAACUUCACAACCAUCAUAUCAAAAUCAAAAGGCAGAGUAGUAUGCUUUAUCAAAUAGAAAAUCAAAGAAAUAGAAGCUCACCCAAUAAAGUUAGAUAUCAGAAAGCUUUAUCAAAUAGUGGACCACAUCAAACUAAUUCUUUGAAAGCUACAAGACAAGCUUGUAACUCUUUUCAAAAAAUAUUACAGCCAAGGAACCAGAAAAUUCAUCACUUAGUGUUCAAACUUGAAUGAAGCAUAACUAAUAACACUAACAAGAAAAGAAGCUACUCACGAGUCAUGUGUUCAAACUUGAAUGAAGCAUAACUAAUAACACUAACAAGAAAAGAAGCUACUCAUGAGUCAUGUCUACGGGAGUAAUAUUCAGAAGUUUCAGAAUUAAAAAUAAACAUGAUAAACAAAAAAAAAAUUAUGAGCUACAUACACUUAAGUACAUGGUUACUUACACAAUAUGAGUGAUAACAGUUCGACACAUCAAAUACGCUUCAAGGCCAUCAAACAGCUGAAUGACUACGAUAAAAUGGAGCACCGUUAAAUUGUUUGAGUUACAUAAACUUUGGAAGGUAAGUGUGAGAACUUGAGGGGAAGGGGGCACUGUCUUGCUUU